rnacentral:rRNA from 1 species
CAGCAGCCGCCGCGGGAAAACGUAGGGUGCAAGCGUUAAUCGGAAUUACUGGGCGUAAAGCGUGCGCAGGCGGUUAUAUAAGUCAGAUGUGAAAUCCCCGGGCUCAACCUGGGAACUGCAUUUGAGACUGUAUGGCUAGAGUGUGUCAGAGGGGGGUAGAAUUCCACGUGUAGCAGUGAAAUGCGUAGAUAUGUGGAGGAAUACCGAUGGCGAAGGCAGCCCCCUGGGAUAACACUGACGCUCAUGCACGAAAGCGUGGGGAGCAAACAGGAUUAGAUACCCGCGUAGUCCCUGUCUCUUAUAC